AGUUGUCAAUAUUAGCACCAGAAGUGACUUCUGACUUCAUGGGAACCAAGAGGGGAAGGGACUGACAAGGAAAGCAUACUGGAAGCGCAAAUGUCUUUGGAGAAGAGCAAAAACCCCAGAGAACUCCUGGACCCCGGGAUGCUUCUCCUCCACCCACCUCACAGCACCAAACACUCUGCCGCUCAUUCUAUCCAAAUCCAAGCAUUUGUUUCUCACAUGCACCUCUGUCAAGCACCCUGCACUAACCCCUGUCCUGCAAGUGAACUGUCCCUUUUCAGCGAUGGGCUGUAAUUCCCCAAGAAGAGGACAGAAGUCUGGGCUCCAGUUGCUUUGAAUUGGAAGGAUAGUGAAAAAAGACUCUCUCACUCAGUGGAAUCAGACAAGUUGAACUGUUUACCUUUUCUUUUUUUUCUUUUUUAAAGGAGCAUAACAAUAUUAGUUUUAU